UACGAAGGUGGCAAGCGUUGUUCGGAUUUACUGGGCGUACAGGGAGCGUAGGCGGUUGGAUAAGCCCUCCGUGAAAUCUCCAGGCUUAACCUGGAAAGUGCAGAGGGGACUGUUCAGCUAGAGGAUGGGAGAGGAGCGCGGAAUUCCCGGUGUAGCGGUGAAAUGCGUAGAGAUCGGGAGGAACCCCAGAGGCGAAGGCGGCAUUCUGGCUCGCAACUGACGCUCAGACACGACAGCAUGGGGAGCGAACGGG
rnacentral:rRNA from 1 species